rnacentral:misc_RNA from 1 species
AAAAAAAAGUAGAACAUUUCAAUAGGAAUUUUAAUUUUUUCAUGCCAAACUUACAUGUUAUAACUCACCUCUUUGAUCACAUCGUUCUACUGAGGCAGUUAGUCAGGCAUCCACUCAAACUUAAUUUUUAGGGUGAAAAACGCCACUAUGCAAUCUAAUUUUACAACACAGCAAAAUGGUCACUAAAGUAAUGAACUACAACAUAUAAGGAGCCUAACAAACCCAAAUACAACAUAUUAUGGCAAGACACGGGGGAGAGCCACAACUACUUG